ensembl:lncRNA
AAUGUGUGUUGUGUCGAAAUAUUCCGAAGUCAAGUAAUCCAAACUGCUCCAGUUAAACUAUCAUGGGCUACGUCCCGAACCACAUAUCACUGUACCCAAGCACAUUGUAGACUAGCAGAAUUAGCAUGGUUGCUGAGCCAUAUAUCAGAGCAUUAUGGGCUUUUUGGGCUGUAGCUAUAGAAGCCCUGGAUCAAAAAGCCCUACUGUAAUAUUAGCAUGUGCCGAUGUUAGCAGUAAGAGAUCCGUCGUGUUUGCUAGGCAUUACAGAUUGAGACAGGUGUGCGCUAGCGGCUAAUGGCUUUCUGUAAAUUUAGCUCUGCGCUUGGGAAUGCUAGCCGUGUGCGAUUAUCCGAGCAGGUCAUGGCUAACUUUAGCUAUAAUAACAGUACCACAUGAAUACAGUAACAUAUAUUGGAGUUUUUCUGGUUAUUAUUCGCCGUCAGGUCGACUUGAGGAGCUUUGAGGGAGGUUGAUUUUGUGACUAUGAUGUGUGCUAUAUAUAAAUUAUCAUUUUGAUUUUGUUAGGAGUUUACACUUUUAGUUUUGAACCCCGCGAUUGUUCUUCUAAAAUUGUACUUUUUUCCCCGGGUUCAAACAAUCGGUAUACGAAUGAUUCUCUAAAAGCAGACUGUCCAGGCUGUAAAGAAUAAUAAAACGAGCGCUUCUGCUUCCGCUGGGUUUCUUUGCCUUGGCUUUUCUCUGUAGUACUUUUCCUUGCGUUAUCGUUUCGGAGGCCGUUCAUCCGAGAAACCACCUCAGCUUUUAUUUAUGUAUUUAUUUUUUUAAAUAAAUUAUUUUGAACAUUCUUCACCCCGUGCACUUGCGUGAUCUGAGUAGACCACAAAUGUACUCACUUCCUUUUCAUUUUAUUUCACUUCCUCCUUUCCACCCAUGCAUCAGCUCGUUAAAGCUUUUUUUUAUUUCUGUCUGUGCUUUUUAUUUCCUGCUGUCCCCUUCACUUUCGAUGUCGAGUCUGAUAAAGCGUGUAACGCUGACAUAGCGGAAGUUCUUGAACAAGCUGGAAUGUAAUUAUACAUGGUUCAGUUGUUUCCGCAUGUCAUUCUUAUACAUGAUUCCUUCAUUUCCAAAUGUGAUUCUUGCACAUGACUCAGUUAUUUCCACAUGAUUCUUAUACAUGAUUCUUUUAUUUCCACAUGACUCUUAUACAUGAUUCGUUUAUUUCCAAAUGUGAUUCUUAUACAUGAUUCGUUUAUUUCCACAUGACUCUUAUACACGAUUCGUUUAUUUCCAAAUGUGACUCUUAUACAUGAUUCGUUUAUUUCCAAAUGUGACUCUUAUACAUGAUUCGUUUAUUUCCAAAU